rnacentral:rRNA from 1 species
CGGCAUGCCUUACACAUGCAAGUCGAACGGCAGCACGGGAGCAAUCCUGGUGGCGAGUGGCGAACGGGUGAGUAAUGUAUCGGAACGUACCAUUGAGUGGGGAUAACGUAGCGAAGUUACGCUAAUACCGCAUAUACCCUGAGGGGGGAAAGCAGGGGAUCGCAAGACCUUGUGCUCUUUGAGCGGCCGAUAUCAGAUUAGCUAGUUGGUGAGGUAAAGGCUCACCAAGGCGACGAUCUGUAGCGGGUCUGAGAGGAUGAUCCGCCACACUGGAACUGAGACACGGUCCAGACUCCUACGGGAGGCAGCAGUGGGGAAUUUUGGACAAUGGGGGCAACCCUGAUCCAGCCAUGCCGCGUGCAGGAUGACGGUCCUAUGGAUUGUAAACUGCUUUUGUACAGGAAGAAACACUGGUUCGUGAACCAGCUUGACGGUACUGUAAGAAUAAGGAUCGGCUAACUCCGUG